rnacentral:rRNA from 1 species
CACGUAGGGCGCGAGCGUUGUCCGGAAUUAUUGGGCGUAAAGAGCUCGUAGGCGGUCUGUCGCGUCGGCUGUGAAAUCCCGAGGCUCAACCUCGGGUCUGCAGUCGAUACGGGCAAACUGGAGUGUUGCAGGGGAGACUGGAAUUCCUGGUGUAGCGGUGAAAUGCGCAGAUAUCAGGAGGAACACCGGUGGCGAAGGCGGGUCUCUGGGCAACAACUGACGCUGAGGAGCGAAAGCGUGGGGAGCGAACAGG